rnacentral:rRNA from 1 species
GAUGAACGCUGGCGGCGUGCCUAAUACAUGCAAGUCGAGCGAACGGACGAGAAGCUUGCUUCUCUGAUGUUAGCGGCGGACGGGUGAGUAACACGUGGAUAACCUACCUAUAAGACUGGGAUAACUUCGGGAAACCGGAGCUAAUACCGGAUAAUAUUUUGAACCGCAUGGUUCAAAAGUGAAAGACGGUCUUGCUGUCACUUAUAGAUUGAUCCGCGCUGCAUUAGCUAGUUGGUAAGGUAACGGCUUACCAAGGCAACGAUGCAUAGCCGACCUGAGAGGGUGAUAGGACAAACGGGAACUGAGACACGGUCAAGACGCCUACGGGAGGCAGCAGUAGGGAAUCUUCCGCAAUGGGCGAAAGCCUGACGGAGCAAAGCCGCGUGAGUGAUGAAGGUCUUCGGAUCGUAAAACUCUGUUAUUAGGGAAGAACAUAUGUGUAAGUAACUGUGCACAUAUUGACGGUACCUAAUCAGAAAGCAACGGCUAACUACGUG